AAAAGUACAUAUUUGUUUGUUUCAGCAUCAUGUGUAAAAACAUGCUUAAUAAUUUAAAACACACACAAACAUGUCCCAACAAUACUGACAUUCAUUUGGACAAUGUUUUUCCUACAAAACAAAGGAAACAUAUUACAAGCUUUUUACGCAACUCAAUUGUGUUCUUCUUGUAAUGUUGUAUAGAUAAGAUAGCUAAGAUAUGUAUCACUAACAUUGUAAUUUGGAUUGUCUGCAGGCAAAGAGAAUGAUUGGAAUCUAGAAAGAGUAUUGAUUAGAAAAAAAACAAGUGGUCAUUUUACUUCCUGCUAAAGACAUUCUGCCUGGCUGGCAAUUAUUGUAUCUGCAAGCAAAGAGAAUUAUUGGAAUCUAGAAAGAGUAAUGAUUAGAAAAAAAUCAAGUGGUCAUUUUACUUCCUGCUAAAGACAUUCUGCCUGGCUGGCAAUUAUUGUAUCUGCAGGCAAAGAGAAUGAUUGGAAUCUAGAAAGAGUAAUGCUUAGAAAAAAAUCAAGUGGUCAUUUUACUUCCUGCUAAAGACAUUCUGUCUGGCUGGCAAUUAUUGUAUCUGCAGGUAAAGAGAAUGAUUGGAAUCUAGGAAGAGUAAUGAUUAGAAAAAAAUCAAGUGGUCAGUUUACUUCCUGCUAACAUGUAUGUGUGGCUCCAUCAACAUUUCCCUCCUCCAAUAUCCAAAAAAGAAAGAAAAUGAAUAAAUGUGCGUACUAUUUUUUUUAUUUUUUUUGGGCCACUUAUAAUUAAUGAUGUUAAAAAAGGGUCAAGGAGCUAAGUGUUAUAUUUUGUAAAGCAUCAAAAACACUUGCUAACUAUUUUGAGUUACUUAUCACAAAUGUCUAACUUGUUUUUUUUCACGUUUUUUUUUUGCUGGCUGCUUGUCCUGCCCUUUGCCUUUAGCACUGUCAUGUUGGCGUGCUCUGGUGGACCAUCUUGGUGGUGAUGAGACUGGCGUGAUAUUUGGAGUAGUCGUACCAGAACUGCUGGUUGUUUGCUGUUGGUGCAUGCAUCUGAGUGUUUCAUUCAGCAUCUUAUACCCAAUGUCAUACUGUAUGGCUCAAGUGGACAUACAUAUCUUUACUGGAUGUGGACAAGGCCAUUUAGUUUGGAUUCCAUUUCAGCUUUUACUUACUGCGUUUGAUACUCACAAUCAAGAUGAGGGGAGUGUGGAUGACGUCUUGGAGGUGUGUCCAAAAUUUGGAGUGGGAGUACAGAACAUACGGAC